GAUCCUUCGUCAUUGCCUCGAGCUAGCAGAGAUCGUGUUGGAGAUGGAAGCCAAUUCUUACAAUUCGUCUUGGAGAGGGAAACUUGAAGCUUGGCUCUGCAUAAAUAGCGGGUUGCAUGCCUGUGAUGCUAUAGUCACGAACUGGGUUCAAUUCCCCAUUACGGCACUCGAUCGAUUAGUUGGUGAACAAGAACGAAAAGUUGCUGCAACUUUUCUACUGGUACGACUCUUCUGCGAAUGCCACGAUCCAUCAAAUAUUCUUUUAAAACCACCGCUUCAAACUUGGAAUCAAGUAUUAUGUUUGCCACCGAUUUAAUUGCAUAAUUCGUCCCUUUUCAAAGGCCCUGGAAAUUGGCUCCCAUCAUUUCGUCGUUUAGAAUAAAGACUUGCAGUAUGUUAUGAAGAGCCUAUAUUUGAAGCCCUUUGUCAUUGUCUGCAGGUUCUGGACAUUCCUCCAUAAUUAAAGUUCCAGAAAGAUGCAGGGAAGAAAUAUUAAGGGUGAGGCCCUGUGCUACUUUGUUUCACAUUUUGGUUGUGGUAGUUUAGGCUAUGUAUUUCUUUUUGGAGGUGGUGGUGGAUGAAAAGCAGAAGUAGGGGAGCUCUCUUAUGCGAUCAGUAUUGCCAAAUUUAAAGGAGGUGAAUAUGGCGUCUUGUGGUGGAAGGAGAAAAACAAGGCAGGAAGCGUUUUUAUGUAUUUCUGAGUUUGAAGGCAGUGGAUGUAUUGCAUAGGUUGUGAUAUCAGAACCCGGCCGUUCAUGAACUACCAUAUGUUCCAAUAUUUAAAACCCCAGCAGCCGUGUUGCAUUAAGACGUCGGCCGUUCAUGAACGACCAUGUUAGUCUUAAUUCAAGAGAAGAUUGCUCGGCCGUUCUUGAACGACCAUGGUUGUCUCAAAAGGGUAUUGGUUGUUCAUGAACAGCCCCCUUUGGUUGAAAUAAACCGGUUAAUUCUCUGCCAAAGAAGACAAGAACAACAUGAUGCAGCGUAUACCUGAACGUCUCCUUUUCGAGCUGCUUUGAUUUUGCCCUCUGUUUCGGCAGAGCCUUGGCCUCUUUCUUGCUGAUUUUUCUUCUCCUUCUCUCCGUGUUUCUCUUCACCGUUGCCACCUUUAUAUAAGGGUGGUUGGAUAAGUGUAUGUUGGAUAGCUGAUAACCAUUUUGAAUAACAAGUCUAUCCUUAUCACUCCUCAUGUAUAUUUGAAUUGGUCAACAACUUGACCGAGACUUGAAUCAAGGCUAACAGAACAUUAUCUCCUCUAACUUGACGUUA